CAACCUCAACUCAUAUGGGACUACCCCCUGAAUUUUAGCAUAUUAAUUAGGGGAGGAAAAGAAACUAACAAGGAUUUUCUUAGUAGCGGCGAGCGAAAAGAAAUCAGUUCAGCACUAAGUCACUUUGUCUAUAUGGCAAAUGUGAGAUGCAGUGUAUGGAGCGUCAAUAUUCUAGUAUGAGAAAUUAACGAUUUAAGUCCUUCUUAAAUGAGGCCAUUUACCCAUAGAGGGUGCCAGGCCCGUAUAACGUUAAUGAUUACUAGAUGAUGUUUCCAAAGAGUCGUGUUGCUUGAUAGUGCAGCACUAAGUGGGUGGUAAACUCCAUCUAAAACUAAAUAUAACCAUGAGACCGAUAGUAAACAAGUACCGUGAGGGAAAGUUGAAAAGAACUCUGAAUAGAGAGUUAAAUAGUACGUGAAACUGCUUAGAGGUUAAGCCCGAUGAACCUGAAUAUCCGUUAUGGAAAAUUCAUCAUUAAAGUUAUAAUAUUUAAACAAUAUUAUACAAAUAAUGUGCAUUUUUUCCAUAUAAGGACAUUGUAAUCUAUUAACAUAUUAAAUUUAUCAUAAAAUAUGGCUUAUAGUUUAUUCAAAUUAUUAUGCUUGCAUUUUAACAUAGAAUAAAUGUCAUUAAUUUGAUAAAGUGUUGAUAGACUAAUAAGAAUACAGUGCGUUAAUUUUUCGGAAUUAUAUAAUGGCAUAAUUAUCAUUGAUUUUUGUGUUUAUUAUAAGCACUUGUAUGAUUAACAAUGCGAAAGAUUCAGGAUACCUUCGGGA
rnacentral:ncRNA from 1 species